rnacentral:rRNA from 1 species
AGUGAACGCUGGCGGUAGGCCUAACACAUGCAAGUCGAACGGCAGCACAGUAAGAGCUUGCUCUUACGGGUGGCGAGUGGCGGACGGGUGAGGAAUACAUCGGAAUCUACUUUUUCGUGGGGGAUAACGUAGGGAAACUUACGCUAAUACCGCAUACGACCUACGGGUGAAAGCAGGGGAUCUUCGGACCUUGCGCGAUUGAAUGAGCCGGUGUCGGAUUAGCUAGUUGGCGGGGUAAAGGCCCACCAAGGCGACGAUCCGUAGCUGGUCUGAGAGGAUGAUCAGCCACACUGGAACUGAGACACGGUCCAGACUCCUACGGGAGGCAGCAGUGGGGAAUAUUGGACAAUGGGCGCAAGCCUGAUCCAGCCAUACCGCGUGGGUGAAGAAGGCCUUCGGGUUGGAAAGCCCUUUUGUUGGGAAAGAAAAGCAGCAGGUUAAUACCCCGCUGUUCUGACGGUACCCAAAGAAUAAGCACCGGCUAACUUCGUG